AAUGUGAGGUGGGCAUUUGAAGAUGAGCAUUUUUUAAAUUAAUUAAUUAACUUUUGGCCACGCGGUAUCUUCAUCGCUGCGCAUUUUUCUAGUUGCAGAGAAUGGGGCUACUCCUGGUUGUGCUGCGUGGGCUUCUUGCUGUGGUGAUUUCUGUUUCGGAACACGGGCUCUAGGCUCACCGGCUGCAGUAGCUGUCCCGCACGGGCUUGGAGACACGUGCGAUCUUCCCGAACCAGGGAUCGAACCCGUGUCCCCUGCACGGGCAGGCGGACUCAUCCACGGCCCCACCAGGGACAUGCGAUCAUUUCCUGUGUUUUACAUUGAGGAUGAGAGAGGGAGCGAUUCUGAUGUCUUUUCAGUGAGGAUCUGCCCAGGUGUGAUGCAGAUUGAGAAGGCGGCGAUCAGCGCGAACACACAGGAUCCGAGGCGAAGGAAGCUGGUGAUGGCCUGCCGGGACCGUGGGUGGACAGCCACUCCUCCCCACCCGGGGAGCUUCCUUGGGGAGCAGAUCAAGGAUGCAUUAAAAACACGUGGUUGCUGACCAAACCCUGCUUGGUAUAAAACACAGAACAGACCGACGAUCCUGAUGCAGUGGUUCUCGACGUCCACAUAUGCUUUUCGGGAAGAGGGAUUUUCACUUCCUGUCAAAACUCAGAGUAAAUAAAUACACUCAUUACAUGGCCAAAUGUGAGAACACUUCUUUCCAACUAUUCUCAGAGCAAGUCAGUGAGCCCCGGGUGGUAAAUGCCUCUUCGGCUCCAUGAAGCUCAGGCCUCUCUCCGCCCCCCUGAGCAGACAGCCAGGAGUGAUGUGGGCUUUCCCUGGAGUGGAAGCAGGAACUGAGCCAAUGUGCUGGUGGUCCCAGGACCCCUGUGAACCUCUAAGAGUGGAAACCUACAACUAUUCCCUGGGUUUGGGGAUGCUACCAUGAAAAUGAAGAGAGAGCAGGAAAUUUCCAGUGAUGGUGUUUGGUUCAUUAUACAACAAAGAAUUGAUGCUUUUGAGCUGUGGUGUUGGAGAAGACUCUUGAGAGUUGCUUGGACUGCAAGGAGAUCAAACCAGUCAAUCUUAAAGGAAAUCAGUCCUGAAUAUUCAUUGGAAGCUGAAGCUGAAACUCCAGUACUUUGGCCACCUGAUGGGAAGAACCGAUUCACUGGAAAAGACCCUGAUGCUGGGAAAGAUUGAAGGCGGGAGGAGAAGGGGACGACAGAGGACGAUAUGGUUGGAUGGCAUCACUGACGCGAUGGACAUGAGUGUGAGUAGGCUCCAGGAGUUGGUGAUGGACAGG
rnacentral:lncRNA from 1 species